rnacentral:lncRNA from 1 species
ACAAAGCCGUCUUUGUCCGUGUCCUAGCCGUCUACAGUACCUGAUUCUCCAGAACGUCUAGAUCAUUUCAGCCAGUUGUUUUGAAAGUGGUGCUCACAAGCUCAAACCGUCCCUGUUUCUUGUGUACUAUAUCAUCCUAUUGUGUACUAUGUCAUUCAAUUGUGUACUAUGUCAUCCAUUUCGUAUGAUAUUGCAUCCUGCAUUUAAAAAAAAUAUAUAUAUACAGUACCAGUCAAAAGUUUGGACACCUACUCAUUCAAGGGUUUUUCUUUAUUUUCACUAUUUUCUACAUUGUAGACUAAUAGUGAAGACCACCGAUGGAAUCAUGUAGUAAUCAAAAAAGUGUUAAACAAUUCAAAAUAUAUUUUAGAUUUUAGAUUCUUCAAAGUAGCCACCCUUUGCAUUGAUGACAGCUUUGCACACUCUUGGCGUUCUCUCAAGCAGCUUCACGAGGUCGUCACCUCAUGACGAUCCCUGACUGCAUCUGUCUGUGUAUCAUAUCCUGUCCUGUCCUACACUCUUACAAGUAAAGGUGCUAUCAAGAACCAAAAAGGGUUCUUUGGCUGUCCCCAUAGAAGAACCUCUUAAAGAACUAUUUUUCGUUCCAGGUAGAACCCUUUUGUGUUUUACACAGAAGGGUUCUACAUGCAACCCCAAAAAGUUCUACCUGGCACCAAAAAGGGUUAUCCUAUGGGGACAGCCGCAGAACCCUUUUGGAACCCUUUUUUCUAAGAGUGUACAUGGGUCUCUCCCCUCUGCUCUAUGCCCCCAGACUGCAUACUCACCGCACUUCACGCAAAGGCCCGGCUGGUAUAUAGACGUCCCCGUGGCAACAAUACGCUUGGAUGAGACGAGGACAACAAAGCAUCAUGGGAUGGCGUAGUGUCGAUGCAGUGUGUGGGUUCUUGUUGUGAACGAGAUGGCUUGUCAUGCCAGCUCUUGUUUCCACCAAUGUGGCCAGACCUUAACCAACCAUGCACCAAGCUGCUGUGUCUGACCCUGAGUCUGAACACCAUGGAGAAAUUAACAGGAGAGAAUGAGAGUUCCAGUCCAGAUGAAAGAACAGCGACCGGUGAGAAAUGUCCUCCCCUGUUAAAAAGAGUGAGAUGGCGAUGAUUUUACUUCGGUGGAAAACUCCUUCUGUAAACGUUCAGGGUUUUUAAUAUGGGGCAAACACUUGUCUCCUGGUCAAGUGGCAGUGUGGUGGAAGGGCGAAGGGAUCGGUGACGAGUAAUUGGGGCCUUUCAGCAUGUGCUGCCUGGUUAGUGGUUAAUGAGCCUGGAGAUGGGCCAGGAGAGAUCGGGUUCCGCUUGGUGUGUUGGGGACUUGCCUGCUUUGCCUUGUUGGGCUGUUGUAGCUGUUGUGGCUGCGGACCAAACACCCCUGGUGGCAAUUAAUCACUGUGUGCCAUGGACAGAAUGUGCUCUUGGCUAGACCAACAUCACAGAACACUGCCAUGUCCACUUACUUCCUACUUCAUUCCGUUCCCAGUCGCUCCAGUCCCAACAUAACAGGUGGCGAUGUGUCCGCCAUUAUGGAUCGAUGAGGAGCCCCAACGAGCUCUCCGAUAAUGAGAUGUCCUGGCUUCAGUGAAGUGAGAGUGACUGAUGCACGUCUAAUGAUGCUGACGUUUGGAGCCAGGCAGCCAGCUAUCGACUGGCGCUUGUUGAUCAGCUGUUGUCAUUCAAUUAUGCACUAGAGGUUUCUUCCUUGUAUUGUAGUGGACGGUCCGCCACUGUUCGGCUGACACUCAUAUUUAACACGCCAAUAAAAACCCUCCAUCCCCAUUAGAGGGAGGGGUCUGCGGGGCCUCGCUUUCUCUUAAAAAAUUAAUGAGAUUUCAUAUUUCUUUACUGGCAAAUUUUCACUUGCAUCCGUUGGCAUUUCAACAUUUGAGUGUGUCUCUGUUCCAAAUUUUGGGGCAUUUUAUUGAUGUGUGUGACGCAAGCGUGUUCUGUUUUUAAAGGUGUGAAGUAUUGUUCCGUUUUUAAUACUGGGUCCUAAAAAGUAAGUAGUCUGCAUCAUUGUUGUAUGCUGGGCACGUUAUUGUAACACGCUAUUGUAAUGUGUUGUAAUGUAUUACAAUAUUGUAAUGUAUGUAAUGUGUGUAUACCAUAAAUGUGAACAUGUUGCGGGAGUGUAUUGCAGGACUGUAGGAUAGCGUGUCUACUUUGUGGCAGAGGAAAAGUACUCAUCUUUUCGAAUAGUGAAUGGUGGAAUCCUAGCCCACCACCGAAACAGUCCCUAUAGCAACCAUGGAAUGUUUUCAUUAAUGACGGGCAACUUGUCUCUACAAAGUAGGUCUAUGAACCACAAAAAAGCCAAACAAACACACAUACUCUCUCACACACACACACAUUUGUUUUACUAUCCUUGUGGGGACCCAAAAAUCUAUUUUCCCCACAGGACCUAACCCUAACCCUUAACCUAACCUUAACCUUAACCCUAAUCCCAAACUCCUAACACUAAAACUAAACCUAAUCCUAACUGCUAACUGCUAACCCUAAACCUAACCCCUGACCCUAUCCUUAAUUCUAACCCCUACCCUAAUUGUAACCCUAACCCUAAAAAAGCCUUUUUCCUUAUGGGGAUUGGCAAAAUGUCCCCACUUGUUCGAAUUUUCCUUGUUUUACUAUCCUUGUGAGGACUUCUGGUACACACAAGGAUAGUCAAACCAAACCACUCACACACACCUAAACUCAUCAUCAGAGGUUUUUGAGAAUGUGUGUGUUUAGUUACAGGUAUGUUGGGCGCCGUGCUGACCAAACUAACCACUUGAGGAAGUCAGCUGAAGUAUGUGCAAACUGGAGCCCGUGUUUGCAGAAGAGUCAAAACACUGUAUAACCAUCCUACUGUAUGUGAUGUUAUCACAGUGAAUCUGAUAGUCUGCCAUGUGCUGGGUGGAUAGGGAAUUUGGAUUAGUCUGAUUGAAGCCUGCUAACCAGCCUUAAAGGAGGCAAAUCCCACACAAGAAGAUGGGGGUUGGAGGAUUGGGACUGUCUGGUCUUCAGAGCUCACGCACGCAACGCACUGCACGCACACACACGCAGCACACACACACCA